rnacentral:rRNA from 1 species
UACGUAGGGUGCAAGCGUUAAUCGGAAUUACUGGGUGUAAAGCGUGCGCAGGCGGUUUUUGUAAGUCAGAUGUGAAAUCCCCCGGGCUUAACCUGGGAACUGCAUUUGUGACUGCAUGGCUGGAGUGCGGCAGAGGGGGAUGGAAUUCCGCGUGUAGCAGUGAAAUGCGUAGAUAUGCGGAGGAACACCGAUGGCGAAGGCAAUCCCCCUGGGCCUGCACUGACGCUCAUGCACGAAAGCGUGGGGAG